AAGGAUUCCCUUAGUAGCGGCGAGCGAACAGGGAAAAGCCCAGCACUGAAGCCCGUAAUCGGUAACGGUUACAGAGCAAUGUAGUGUUUGGGAGUGCCCGUUUAACCUAAGCAAUAUAUAAGUGAGUUCAAGUCCUUCUUGAAGGGGGCCAUUUUCCCAUAGAGGGUGCUAGGCCCGUAGUAACCAUUUAUAUGUUUAGGUGGGUAUCUCCUUAGAGUCGGGUUGCUUGAGAGUGCAGCUCUAAGUGGGUGGUAAACUCCAUCUAAGGCUAAAUAUGACUACGAAACCGAUAGCGAACAAGUACCGUGAGGGAAAGUUGAAAAGAACUUUGCAGAGAGAGUUCAAGAGUACGUGAAACUGUUCAGGGGUAAACCUGUAAUACCCAAAUAGUUCGAAAGAGGUGAUUCAUUUGUUUUUCCGUUUAUAAUCAUUUUUCAGUAUAUAGACAUGUAUAAAUCAUUUAUGAUUUUUAAUCGUAUUUGUUAUAUUAUAUAUGCUAUUCUGAUUAAUGUAUAUUUUAUAUUCGGUGGCAUGCACUUCAUCUCUAGUAGAGCGUCGUAACUCAUUAGAUAUAAUUAUGAAUAUAUAUGUGGUGUUUAAGGUUCACAAUGGAGACCGUGGCGUCAUAUUAUUUUUUAUUAAAUAUUAUGUGCGACCCGGACUUGUGUUAUCCUGACACUCUAUCUGAKGGUAUAUAUAUAAAAAUGUAAAUCACAUUACUAAUGUGUGUUAUAAUAUAUUACUAUAACAAAUAUUAAUAUGGUCUGUAAAAAAUAGAUAUUAAAUGCUGUUUUUACGCAUAUUAUAUUGUUGGUUAUAGUAUACUUGAACAGAUUUGAUGAACAUUUGUUUACGACGUAUAUGUAUUGGGUAAUUACAGGACCCGUCUUGAAACACGGACCAAGGAGUCUAGCAUGUACGCAAGUCAUUGGGUAUAUAUAAUAUUUUUACUUGUAAAAAUUUAUAUAUAUUAAACCUAAAGGCGAAAUGAAAGUGAAAUAUUAAUUUUUUUCCUCAUAUUUAUUUAUGUUGGUCAAAAAAAUUAAUUAGGGAAGAUGGGUAUUAAUAAAAAUAAUACCUCGCAUUCCCGGGGCGUCACAUAUAACUUAUUGCAAGUUGUGGCGCACCAAGAGCGUAUACGCUGGGACCCGAAAGAUGGUGAACUAUGCCUGGUCAGGAKGAAGUCAGGGGAAACCCUGAUGGAGGUCCGUAGCGAUUCUGACGUGCAAAUCGAUCGUAUGAACUGGGUAUAGGGGCGAAAGACUAAUCGAACCAUCUAGUAGCUGGUUCCNUCCGAAGUUUCCCUCAGGAUAGCUGGCAUUCGGAUGUAUAAAUUAUUUUUAUGUAUAUUAUAUUAUAUGAGUUUCAUCCGGUAAAGCGAAUGAUUAGAGGCAUUGGGAUCGAAACGAUCUCAACCUAUUCUCAAACUUUAAAUGGGUGAGAACUCUGGCUUGCUUAAAUUGAUGAAGCCAUGAGUGAAAUAUUAUUAUUAUAUGAAUCAAAGACUGCCAAGUGGGCCAUUUUUG
rnacentral:rRNA from 1 species